rnacentral:ncRNA from 1 species
GCGGAUGAAAGGUCCGCUGGGAUGUAGCCGUGCAGGCUGAACCGUAAA